rnacentral:hammerhead_ribozyme from 1 species
GCACUGCUGACGAGUCCAAUACUAGGAUGAAACGGUCGUCCAGUGC